ACUAGAUAAUUUUACAACAAAAUAAUUCGCCAGAGGACUACUAGCAAUAGCUUAAAACUCAAAGGACUUGGCGGUGCUUUAUAUCCCUCUAGAGGAGCCUGUUCUAUAAUCGAUAAACCCCGAUAAACCUCACCACCCUUUGCUAAUUCAGUCUAUAUACCGCCAUCUUCAGCAAACAA
rnacentral:rRNA from 1 species